rnacentral:rRNA from 1 species
GAGUUUGAUCAUGGCUCAGAUUGAACGCUGGCGGAAUGCUUUACACAUGCAAGUCGAGCGGCAGCGCGGGGCAACCUGGCGGCGAGCGGCGAACGGGUGAGUAAUGCAUCGGAACAUGUCCAUGGAUGGGGGAUAGCCCGGCGAAAGCCGGAUUAAUACCGCAUGAGCCCGAGAGGGGAAAGUGGGGGACCGCAAGGCCUCACGUCGAUGGGUUGGCCGAUGUCCGAUUAGCUAGUUGGUGGGGUAAAGGCCUACCAAGGCGAUGAUCGGUAGCUGGUCUGAGAGGAUGAUCAGCCACACUGGGACUGAGACACGGCCCAGACUCCUACGGGAGGCAGCAGUGGGGAAUUUUGGACAAUGGGGGCAACCCUGAUCCAGCCAUUCCGCGUGAGUGAAGAAGGCCUUCGGUUGUAAG